UCAACCUUAUUUUAUUCUGACUGCUAAACAGAAUUGGAAACUAACAUCAUCCUCAGGUAACAGAUAAAGGCCCUCUUUCCCAUUCAUAGGAAGCAAUUUUGGAGGUGGUGGAAGCUACAAUGAUUUUGGCAAUUACAACAAUCAGUCUUCAAAUUUUGGACCCAUGAAGGGAGGAAAUUUUGGAGGCAGAAGCUCUGGCCCCUAUGGCGGUGGAGGCCAAUACUUUGCAAAACCGCGAAACCAAGGUGGCUAUGGCGGUUCCAGCAGCAGCAGUAGCUAUGGCAGUGGCAGAAGAUUUUAAUUAGGUAAGUAAGCACCUUUUUGUGUGUUGACAUAAUUUUUUAAAUUGCUGAUGAACC
rnacentral:sRNA from 1 species